CACGUAGGGUGCGAGCGUUGUCCGGAAUUAUUGGGCGUAAAGAGCUCGUAGGCGGUCCGUCACGUCGGAUGUGAAAUUCCAGGGCUCAACCCUGGACCUGCAUUCGAUACGGGCGGACUAGAGUUCGGUAGGGGAGACUGGAAUUCCUGGUGUAGCGGUGAAAUGCGUAGAUAUCGGGAGGAACACCAGUGGCGAAGGCGACUACCUGGCCUGUUCUUGACGCUGAGGCGCGAAAGCUAGGGGAGCAAACGGG
rnacentral:rRNA from 1 species